UACGUAGGGGGCAAGCGUUGUCCGGAUUUCUUGGGCGUAAAGAGCGUGUAGGCGGUCUGGUAGGUCCGUUGUGAAAACUCGAGGCUCAACCUCGAGACGCCGAUGGAAACCAUCAGACUAGAGUCCGGAAGAGGAGAGUGGAAUUCCUGGUGUAGCGGUGAAAUGCGCAGAUAUCAGGAAGAACACCCGUGGCGAAGGCGGCUCUCUGGAACGCAACUGACGCUGAGACGCGAAAGCGUGGGGAGCAAACAGG
rnacentral:rRNA from 1 species